GCGUUCUUCAAGCGAGCUUGGGAUAUUGGGAGCCAAGUAGGGCAAAAUAAUGAGCUGGCGCUUUCUGUAAAGUAUUAUCAAACAAUGAAAAGAAAUAAAUUAGGGUGGCCGCGUAUUUCAGACG
rnacentral:sRNA from 1 species